UGGGUGACCUGCCCUCAGCUCUGGGAUAAGCCUGGGAAACUGGGUCUAAUACUGGAUAUUCACUUCUCAUCGCAUGGUGGGUGGUGGAAAGUUUUUUCGGCUGGGGAUGGGCCCGCGGCCUAUCAGCUUGUUGGUGGGGUGAUGGCCUACCAAGGCGACGACGGGUAGCCGGCUGAGAGGGCGUCCGGCCACACUGGGACUGAGACACGGCCCAGACCUCCGUACGGGA
rnacentral:rRNA from 1 species